rnacentral:rRNA from 1 species
CGACGUUGUCGGAAUUAUUGGGCGUAAAGGGCUCGUAGGCGGUUUGUCACGUCGGAAGUGAAAACUCAGGGCUCAACCCUGNAGCGUGCUUACGAUACGGGCAAACUAGAGGUAUGCAGGGGAGAACGGAAUUCCUGGUGUAGCGGUGGAAUGCGCAGAUAUCAGGAGGAACACCGGUGGCGAAGGCGGUUCUCUGGGCAUUACCUGACGCUGAGGAGCGAAAGCAUGGGGAGCGAACAGGAUUAGAUACCCUGGUAGUCCAUGCCGUAAACGUUGGGCGCUAGGUGUGGGGACCUUCCACGGUCUCCGUGCCGCAGCUAACGCAUUAAGCGCCCCGCCUGGGGAGUACGGCCGCAAGGCUAAAACUCAAAGGAAUUGACGGGGGCCCGCACAAGCGGCGGAGCAUGCUGAUUAAUUCGAUGCAACGCGAAGAACCUUACCUGGGUUUGACAUAUGCCGGAAAGCNGUAGAGAUACGGCCCCCCUUGUGGUCGGUAUACAGGUGGUGCAUGGCUGUCGUCAGCUCGUGUCGUGAGAUGUUGGGUUAAGUCCCGCAACGAGCGCAACCCUCGUCCUAUGUUGCCAGCACGUAAUGGUGGGGACUCAUAGGAGACUGCCGGGGUCAACUCGGAGGAAGGUGGGGAUGACGUCAAGUCUUCAUGCCCCUUAUGUCCAGGGCUUCAAGCAUGCUACAAUGGCCGGUACAAAGGGCUGCGAAACCGCGAGGUGGAGCGAAUCCCAAAAAGCCGGUCUCAGUUCGGAUUGGGGUCUGCAACUCGACCCCAUGAAGUCGGAGUCG